GAGGACACAGGGAGAGAGAGAGGGAGGGAGGACACAGGGAGAGAGAGAGGGAGGGAGGACACAGGGAGAGAGAGAGGGAGAGAGGACACAAGGAGAGAGGACACAGGAAGAGAGGGAGGACACAAGAAGAGAGGACACAGGAAGAUAGGGACGACACAGGGAGAGGGGGAGGGGGGACACAAGGAGAGAAAGAGAAGCAUGUCAGUCAACAUUGUCAACUUCAUAGGCAUUAUCCAAAUCAUGCACUCCUACUCCUAGUCUUUAAAUCUGACAGGUUUGUCUUCAUUCUCACACACUAUUGUUAUGGUGUCAGCCGGUGGCUGUGACCUUUAAACCUCCCCAUCCAAUCAGCUUAGGUCACAUCUCUCUAUUAGACCUCAUUCCCCACUCCACUUCCUUUCAAUAACCGCUCAACAGGUGUCCCAUCCCUUUAACACUCCAAUAAAGCCCUCAGCAGGUGUCCCAUCCCUUUAACACUCCAAUAAAGCCCUCAACAAGUGUCCCAUCCCUUUAACACUCCAAUAAAGCCCUCAGCAAGUGUCCCAUCCUUUAACACUCCAAUAAAGCCCUCAGCAGGUGUCCCAUCCUUUAACACUCCAAUAAAGCCCUCAGCAAGUGUCCCAUCCUUUAACACUCCAAUAAAGCCCUCAGCAGGUGUCCCAUCCUUUAACACUCCAAUAAAGCCCUCAGCAAGUGUCCCAUCCUUUAACACUCCAAUAAAGCCCUCAGCAGGUGUCCCAUCCUUUAACACUCCAAUAAAGCCCUCAGCAGGUGUCCCAUCCCUUUAACACUCCAAUAAAGCCCUCAGCAGGUGUCCCAUCCCUUUAACACUCCAAUAAAGCCCUCAGCAGGUGUCCCAUCCCUUUAACACUCCAAUAAAGCCCUCAACAAGUGUCCCAUCCCUUUAACACUCCAAUAAAGCCCUCAGCAAGUGUCCCAUCCUUUAACACUCCAAUAAAGCCCUCAGCAGGUGUCCCAUCCCUUUAACACUCCAAUAAAGCCCUCAGCAAGUGUCCCAUCCCUU